UACGGAGGGUGCGAGCGUUGUCCGGAAUCAUUGGGCGUAAAGGGCGCGUAGGUGGCCCGGUCAGUCUUUGGUGAAAGCGCGGGGCUCAACCCUGCGUCGGCCAGGGAUACUGCCGCGGCUCGAGCACUGUAGAGGCAGGCGGAAUUCCGGGUGUAGCGGUGGAAUGCGUAGAGAUCCGGAAGAACACCGGUGGCGAAGGCAGCACUCUGGGCCGGUACUGACGCUGAGGAGCGAAAGCGUGGGGAGCAAACAGG
rnacentral:rRNA from 1 species